UUGACAGCCCUGAAGACCGAAGUCCUUUAUUUAUGCAUGAGCAGCAACAGUUCUGCCUUUCCCACACUGCCCUCCUGAUAUGCUUCACCCAUGACCUGAGGGAUCCCCCUUAAGGGUGACAGCUUUGUAGCUUUCACACCCAUUCACUCUCCAGUCCUU
rnacentral:sRNA from 1 species